GAAUGUUUUGCUACCAUUUAUUUGCUGUAUGGUAUGUACUCAAGGCAUGAGUCAGGGCUUCUGUACUACCCUCUGAUCCCAGGAGACAGGGCAGGCAAGAAGGAGAGCCCAGGGAGAAGCUACCUCAUCAUGGGAAAAUUGUGGGAGCUGGAAGAGGUAGGGGGAGACCCAGCCAUCCUGUUCUGACUUCUAGCAAUUUCUUCUGCCCUCAGUCAUGAGGGGCUCCCUAUCCUCCCAUCCUAUGGUCCCAGGUAUACAUGAUGGUCACUCAGGGCCUUGUACACAGCAGCCAAGACCU
ensembl:lncRNA novel transcript, antisense to ALDOC